AGCGGCGGACGGGUGAGUAACACGUGGGUUAUCUGCCCUCGGGUGGGGAAUAACUCAGGGAAACCUGGGCUAAUUCCGCAUGAUAUCUCCUUCCCAUACGGGUUGGAGAUCAAAGCUGGGGACCCUUUCGGGGGCCUGGCGCCUGAGGAGGAGCCCGCGGCCAAUUAGCUUGUUGGUGAGGUAAUGGCUCACCAAGGCUACGAUUGGUAGCCGGCCUGAGAGGGCGGACGGCCACACUGGGACUGAGACACGGCCCAGACUCCUACGGGAGGCAGCAGUGGGGAAUUUUUGUCAAUGGGGGAAACCCUGAACAAGCAACGCCGCGUGAAGGACGAAGACCUUCGGGUUGUAAACUUCUGUCGGAGGGGACGAAAGCGGUCGAGGUUAAUACCCCCGAUCGUUGACGGUACCCUACGAGGAAGCCCGGCUAACUCCGUGCCAGCAGCCGCGGUAAUACCGGG
rnacentral:rRNA from 1 species